rnacentral:lncRNA from 1 species
GGAGUGUACGCAGAUGUCGACUCCCUGAGCUUGGCCGGCGAAUAAGACAACGACGGCGGCAGCAGCGGCGACGACAAGAAAGACCGGUGAGAAAGAAACCAAUUGCUUUUUAGCCAUAUAUGAUAAUUUAAUCAAUGUCUUUGAUUUUUGUUAGGCUUCUUCCUCAAGGUCGGUCAAAAUUAGGGCAAAUGAAGAAUGAUGAACAGGUAAAAAGGAUGGUUUUGUGAAUUUGGCGGUGGGUUGGUUUUAUAUGACAUUUCAAUGGCAUGGGCGUAACGGUAUUCUGUAACUACCCAAUAAGAACGGGUUGUAUUUGUAAGGCUUCCCUUUAUUCUAGAGUGAGUCUAUUGAAUUUGAAUGUCUUUUUUAGGUUUUAAUUAUCGUAUUGUUUUAUAACUUUUUAAAAACUAUUUUCCUUUUAGUUAUCUCCAUAUAUUUUCUAAAUAAUUUAGUUUAUUCGUUUAUUAUUUAUUCUUUUAAAUAAAAUAAAUUCUUUUUUAGUACAAAGUUGGAACUAAGAUAUUUGAAAGGAAAAAAACUUAUUUCUCCAAUUAUAUACACGUGUCAAUUGAGUAAAAAAAAUAUUGUUUUUAAAUAUAAUAAAAUAAACACUAUUAUUGUUGGAUAUAUAAAUAUCUAGCAUCUAUUAAAAGACUCCAAUUGUUUGCAUUUUUAAAAUUAACAAAAUAUUAAAAUUAUUUACAAAAUUCAGUACAAUAAUUUAGUUUAGUUUUUUUUUACUAAACUAUCUAUAAUAAAUUUUUUUAGAUAUAAAUAAUAUGAUAUAACAACCAUAACAUUGGUUUUCAUGCAAUGGUUUUUCAAAAGAUAUUUUGGUGAAGCAUCUUUAUUUUUAUUUUUUGCUAGAGGUUAGCCUUUGUUUUCUAUUUGUUUUACGGCUCAAAUGAUGAGCAUGGCUUCAACUUAGUUCACAUGUCUUAGACUUUUAAAAUUCAAAGUUCUUAAUUUAAUUUCUAGGUUUCAUGAUUCAAGUUUGGUUUUUAAAUACCUACUUGCCGUUUUUACAUAAUUAUUUUUCAUUUUGAAAAUUGCUAUUAAAAUUAAAAUUAAAGUUUUGCAUCAUAAUUAUUUUAGUUUAGUUUUUUUCAAAGAAAAAAUAGAAGAAGAAAAAACUAUUUACCAUUCAAUAUAUAUAAAAAAAUUACCAAAAGACAAAAUUCAUAAUACUUUUUUUCAAUAAAAGACAUGAUCUUUCAUCUAUCUCAAAAAAAAAAAUGGCAGGGGAUUAAAAUACACUCUAGCUCAAAUCAUUGAUCAUUCAUUGAUAAAAAAAAAAUUAAGUGAUAUUUAAUUAAAUUAUAUUAUCAUUACCAUCACCAUCGACCUAAAACAUUUUUGGCACCUAUGUUGUCUCACACUUAGCCUUAGCUAUGUGUCAAAGAGCAUUCUUAUAAAUAUAGGCUUACUUAACUACCACAAGAUAAAAAAAAGUAAGUAAUGUUCAAAGAAAAGAAGUGGCAUUCCUUUCUACAUGUUUAGCUAGAGAACAAAAUUCGAACACCGAUAAACAUAUAAUUAAACAUAUAAUGGUAAAAAGAAAAAGAAAAAACCAUGUGUUUAUCUAAUCAUGAUUUGUUAUACAUGUUCUUAAAAAUAAAAAUCAUCUAACCAAAAACGUCUAAUAUAAUCCACACAAAACCCUCUUUCUAAUAUAUUGUUAGAAGUAAUUUUUCAACCUUUUUUUUUUUCUCUUUUACGAUUAUACUCUUUUAAUUUCUUAUAUAGAAAACUUUUGUUUAAAAAGCAAUUGCAGUUUGCAAUGCCAUAAUGCUAAUACGAAGAAUGCACCCUUAACCAUAAUUAGAUUGUAAAUAACCUUCAAAUUAAUUAAGCAUUGGGUUUCAAUUUCUUUACCCCACUACUUAUUUCCAUAACUUAUGGAUAUUUAUAUUUUUAGAUUUUUAUCAAGGACGUACUAAAUUUAGGUUAAAUGAAUGAAAAUAAUAUAUGUAUUGACCAAUCCAUAUUUUUUAGUACAUCAUCAAACAUGAAAAUAUAAUUUGUGUACUUUUGAUUUAGUUGUCGCCGUUUUAGAUUAUUUUAGUACUACAACAUCGAAAUAAAUUUGAGACCAAAACGACACGUCGGUUUGGUCGAACCUCCCUGCCCGUUCCUCUUCGUAUAUAUUAAUUUUUACUUCAACAAAGUGGAUAAGUGCAAGCAAUUUGCGGCCAAAUGUUGCAGCAGAAGGUCGUUGCUCAAGACUGUGGAAGCUUUCUUUUGGUCGCCACUCUCCACCACCGCAUCGUCACAUGUGGAGUAGAAAGUCAGUGCAGCGGAAAGGUUGAUUUUCAGGCUUGGGAUGUCUUUUUUCUGCAUAUACGCCAGACUGC